GCACCAGUAGUGUAAUGGUAUCAUACAAGAUUCCCAUUCUUGUGGUCUGGGUUCAAUUCCUGGCUGGUGCA